rnacentral:rRNA from 1 species
AGCAGCCGCGGUAAUUCCAGCUCCAAUAGCGUAUAUUAAAGUUGUUGCAGUUAAAAAGCUCGUAGUUGAAUUUCGGGGUCAAUAUAUCGGUCGUGCCAUCGGUACGUACCGGUAUGAUUGGUUUCUCCUUUCUGACGAACCGUGAUGUCAUUAAUUUGGUGUUAUGGGAAGUUAGGACUGUUACUUUGAAAAAAUUAGAGUGUUUAAAGCAGGCUUUGGCUUGAAUACAUUAGCAUGGAAUAGUGAAAUAGGACGUUCGAACCUAUUUUGUUGGUUUCUAGGAUCAACGUAAUGAUUAAUAGGGAUAGUUGGGGGCAUUAGUAUUCAAUUGUCAGAGGUGAAAUUCUUGGAUUUAU